AGGUGAUGAAACGAGAGGCUGAGUACCUUGUUAAGAACGACAUGGCCGUACAUAGCAGUAGCCCAUGGAGUUCCCCCUGUAUCCUUGUUCCGAAGCCAGAUGGAACGUCUAGAUUGUGCACUGACUAUCGUCGCGUGAAUGCUGUCACUGUUCCGGAUUCAUAUCCUAUGCCACGCAUAGAUGACUGUGUGGAUACGAUAGGUUCCGCCGCAUAUGUCACAAAGCUUGACAUGUUGAAAGGAUACUGGCAGGUGCCACUAACUGCACGGGUGUCUGCUAUUUCAGCCUCUGUGACCCCAGAGAUGUUCCUCCAGUACACAGUCAUGGCAUUUGGGAUGCGCUCCAGCGACGUUUCAACAUCUAGUUAAUAUGGUGCUGGGGGAUGUAUCGAAUUGCACUGCAUAUUUAGAUGACGUAGUGGUACAUUCUUCCACUUGGGAGGACCACAUGUCCACUUUAGAGGACGUGUUUAAACGUUUGCAGGGUGCGUCUUUGACUCUUAACCUCGCCAAAUGCGAGUUUGGGAAUGCAACAGUCACCUAUUUAGGUAAAGAAGUAGGUUCGGGGCGAGGUGCGCCCUGUGGCUUGUAAAGUAGAGGCUAUUACAGCCUACCCAGCACCCACUACGCAGCGUCAGUUACGUCGGUUUGUGGGUAUGGUGGGGUACUAUAGGACCUUCUGCAAGAAUUUCUUGACGGUCAUGUCUCCACUUAUCUCUUUGUUGAGUCCCAAGAAAACGUACGCAUGGACAGUAGACUGUCAGCGUGCAUUUGAGAGUGCUAAAGCACUGCUUUGUUCGACCCCCGUGCUGGCGGCUCCCAACUUCACCAAGCCGUUCAAGCUGGAAGUGGACGCAAGUUGUACGGGCGCAGGUGCGGUUCUUCUCCAGGAAGAUGGCGAAGGCGUCGACCGGCCUGAUGUUCAAUCAGAACCGCAGACUGAUGCGGUGGGCGUUGAUAGUGCAAGGGUACAACAUUGUCAUCAGGCACAUUAAGGGGACACACAAUGUUGUGGCAGACACUCUGUCCCGUAUUUGGUAGA
ensembl:lncRNA